rnacentral:rRNA from 1 species
AGUCAUAUGCUUGUCUCAAAGAUUAAGCCAUGCAUGUCUAAGUAUAAACAACUUUAUACUGUGAAACUGCGAACGGCUCAUUAUAUCAGCAAUAAUUUAUUUGAUGGUUUCUUACUACAUGGAUAACUGUAGUAAUUCUAGAGCUAAUACAUGCGUAAAAUCCCAACUCUUGCGGGGCGGGAUGUAUUUAUUAGAUAAAAAACCAAUGCGGACUUUGUCCGGUUUUUUGGUGAAUCAUAGUAACUGAUCAAAUCGCAUGGUUUCACACCGGCGAUAGUUCAUUCAAAUUUCUGCCCUAUCAGCUUUCGACGGUAGUGUAGUGGACUACCGUGGCGUUAAC